CCGCUACAAAUUCUCCCUUAUACUGAUGAAGUGCAGAAAGUCCAGGAAGGGACAGUACAGGGACAGCGUCCGUCUCUUAUGGGUAGACUGCCGUACGGAGAAGUAGUGGAUAAGCCACUAUGGGUUACCAGCGGAGUGAAGAGUGUUCCUGAACCGUACUGACGGAUGUGCUGCAGCCUGUUAGGGUCAAGAGAGGGAUAGACUUGCACUUUGCAUUAACACUAAGUCAGCGGUCAUGGGGUUUCUGUGUCUUUGGGCUAACACAUCUUCUGAUACUAACAAAUGAAGUUUUGUCUUUUAGCAAAUAACAUUUUAAGGGGGGACUGUUGUAGAAUUAUUAGGCCUCUAUAAGUCUGUAAG